UAUCUCUGUAGAGUCUGCAUAUCAAUAAGCGGAGGAAAAGAAACUAACUAGGAUUCCCUUAGUAACGGCGAGUGAAGCGGGAAGAGCUCAAAUUUGAAAUCUUCAAGGUUUUACCUUGACGAAUUGUAGUUUAAAGAAGUGUUUUCUGUUGAGUGUUUUGGUAAAAGUUCUUUGGAAUAGGACAUCAUAGAGGGUGAGAAUCCCGUAUUUGACCAUUACUUUCAGCUGUGUGAUACACUUCAAAGAGUCGGAUUGUUUGGGAAUGCAGUCCAAAAUGGGUGGUAAAUUUCAUCUAAAGCUAAAUAUUGGCGAGAGACCGAUAGCGAACAAGUACCGUGAGGGAAAGAUGAAAAGAACUUUGAAAAGAGAGUUAAACAGUACGUGAAAUUGUCAAAAGGGAAGCGUUUGAUACCAGUGUUGUUUUUCCGAAAAUCAAUUACAAAAUGUUUGGAUUUUGUAUGUUAAUGACCUUCAUCAGCUUGCUCCUUUCUUUACGAAACUUUCUUAAUGCACUUUUCGGUUAACAAGUCAACAUCAAUUUCUUUUGUUGUAAAAGGGUAUGAGGAAGGUGGCUUUCUUUUCGGAGAAAGUGUUUAUAGCCUUGUGCCUCUGCAAUCGGAGAGAUUGAGGUCUGCAGCGUAGAUCCUUCGGGGUUAGAUACGUUUGUGCUAAGUUAUAGCUUUUCAUAGACAACUUGUUGACUAUGUUUAGUCUUGUAGCUUACUCGCUGACGCUAUUUUACCUACGCUUAGGAUGUUGAUCUCUCACAGUCGAGC
rnacentral:rRNA from 1 species